UACGUAGGAUGCAAGCGUUACCCGGAAUUAUUGGGCGUAAAGAGCGUGUAGGCGGCCGGUCGCAUCCUCUGUUAAAUCUCCAGGCUCAACCUGGAACUCGCAGAGGAGAUGGAUCGGCUAGAGGUCGCAAGAGGGCACUGGAAUUCCCGGUGGAGCAGUGAAAUGCGUAGAUAUCGGGAGGAACACCAAUGGCGAAGGCAGGUGCCUGGGGCGAAUCUGACGCUGAGACGCGAAAGCGUGGGGAGCGAACGGG
rnacentral:rRNA from 1 species